UACUAACAGUCUAGAUACUCUAGAUAGUCAUGAUAAAAUUCGCUUUUAGUCUUAUUAAUAUCUUAUACAGAAAUUAAUCAUUCUAGGUUUUGUAGACUUUUUUAUCUGUUAGUACCUAUUUAAGGCCGACUUGCACCAUUCCACUAACCCAGGGUUAAGCGGUUAAACUGUUAACCCAGUGUCAAAUUGUACUGGUAACCAUGGUAACUGCAGGUUUAACCGGUUAACCCCGGGUUAGUUGAAUGGUGCAAGUGGCCCUAAGUAAUGUAGACUUCGCAGUGACACUGUCCCAGUACAUGACAUCUUUGAACUUAUGUCAUUGUCAUCUUUAAACUUAUGUCAUUGUCAUCUUUAAACUUAUGUCAUUGUCAUCUUUAAACUUAUGUCAUUGUCAUCUUUAAACUUAUGUCAUUGUCAUCUUUAAACUUAUGUCAUUGUCAUCUUUAAACUUAUGUCAUUGUCAUCUUGAAACUUAUGUCAUUGUCAUCUUUAAACUUAUGUCAUAGUCAUCUUGAAACUUAUGUCAUUGUCAUCUUUAAACUUAUGUCAUAGUCAUCUUGAAACUUAUGUCAUUGUCAUCUUUAAACUUAUGUCAUAGUCAUCUUGAAACUUAUGUCAUUGUCAUCUUUAAACUUAUGUCAUUGUCAUCUUUAAACUUAUGUUGUGGCAUCGCAACCAUAAUGUGAUUUGAAUUGUUUAGUUUUAAAAUUAUAUAUUUUUAUAAUAUGUAUGCUAGUUUUAAGGUAUUUACGUAUGGGCUACUAGUAGCCUGAAAUUAGGAUUAAAUUGAGAUUUUCAUUUAUUAAUUCAUUGUUAAUAGCAGGGUGUCAUCUAUUCGGCAUUAGCAUGUCGAGCGCUGGGGCGUUUACCUUAACGUAGUUUAAUGAGGUUGUAAAAAUAGUUGCUCAAUGAUCGAGCCAAGUCCGAAUAAAGGCAAUAAUGUAUUGCAUGUUUCGAUGUCGUAUGCCUACUAUUUUGUACUCGGGUGAUAUGUGUUUUACUUUUAGCUUAAUAAGUAGUUGGUAAAAAAGUGUUUGCAAAAUGGUAUAAGUGAGGAUACGCUCGAAUAGUUUCGUUUUUAUAGCUAGUUUAUUAUGUAAAUAAAAUCAUUAGUAACAACUAGUAGGUAACUGUCAGUCAGUUUUGUCAGGUUGUAUAAUAUUAUUAUAAACUUUAUUUGAAAGACAGAGUCUAAUGGUCAGUUAAAAGUGUACUACAAUACAACUACAAUAAGUUUUUUGCAAAAAAAAACAUUUUUGUUACAAGUUUUUAUCGCUGACUGUACUUUUCUUUCCACAAGCUACUAGUAAUUAUCGAGACAAUUCUAAAAACCCCAAAUACAAUUAGGUUUCGUUUUAUCAUUAUCAACACAAUUGCUAUGGCAUAUCAGGCCCAUGGUACCAUAUUGCAUUGUCACCUGACUUACAUAUGUAUACAUUUUUUCAGCUUCAUUUUAAGUCGGGAAAUGGGUCAAAUUUAACUUGCAAUAUUUGACCCGUACAAACAUACAUGGGUACACUGCAAGUUAAUAAAAAGCUAGUAAAAAAUGCUGUACAUUAGACGAAUAGACAGUAGACAGAGCCAAACUGGAAUCGUGGAGAAAUAGCAUUAAACAAUAUUUUAAUAGUUUUUGAAUAAAAUUGCAACGCUGUGAAAUGUGAAGACAAUUUGUUAACCAAACAGUCCUGAACCAUCAAUUUUACUAUUUUACAUUUCUAUUUAAUCCGUCCCAUCAGAAUGACAUUUGAAUAAUCUCAAAUCUCAUUCUUUAUUUAAAUAUAUAUGCUUUGUGAAAUCCAAUGUCUUUAUAAAUGAAAUAACAAGGAUUUUGCAUAAAAAAAAUUGCAGUCACGGAACGAUACAGAUGUAAUCGGAUUUAAGUGCAAAGAGACACGCUACAUGACGUGAGUUCGAAGUAUCUGAAACGGUUUGAUAACAGAAAAUUGGUGUGGGUUUAUAGAAUAAAGGGUUAAAUGUAGUUUUACGCUUGACCGCCGACUUGUGUUUGUUGUUGUAUAUCACAUUUAAAUUCGUUACCUAUUUAAAUACCUAAUCUAUCCCACUGAUCUGUUAUUAUCGUCCUUCGUUAUCGUCUAAUGAAAUAUUAUAGUUAUAAUUAUAUACCUACCCAUUUAGACUUGGCGUACUACACUACCGAGUUCCCUAAUUCGUAUUCAAUUUCGUCCGUGUGGUUUUACCAUAUGUCCAAUUUCAUAGAAUCUCGGUCACGUCACCUAGGUUUUGUGGUGAUCUGUCAAAGUAUGAUAUUCGAAUUUAACUCUUACUGCAGAUAACGUGACGUAGACAGAUGAGUUGUAUCGAAAAUUGUUGAAUACUUAUUUCAACUCGAUCCGUUGUUGCCGUUUUUUUUAUCGUAAAACAAAAUGUUCUGUUUAAUUACUGACUGGAUUUUAUGAAUAUAAUUGACAUGCGCUCGCUUGUACAUACGACAUGAUAUUAAGUCAAUAAUUUAUUGACAAAAAAUGGAAUUGCAAUUUGGCGGUACCACUUAACAAAUUAAUCAGAAUAUUGUUUAAAUACUCAAUAAUUUUAAAUUAAAAUAUGCAUUAUUUUUAAGAAUAGUUUGAAAUCAGGAGCCGUUUUCUUAUUGUACUGUAAUGACAGAUUACGAAUUCGAUCCGGAUGUGACAGCUCUGUUUGAAGAAAUGGCACUUUUGACAAUCUUCUUCUACCUAGCGUUAUCCCGGCCUUUGCCAGGGUCCGCUUUCCUAUUUGCUUUUCUCCACUUUGCGCGAUGCUGGGCGUCCUCUCGUGUGAGCCCGUAAACGCUCAUAUCUGUUUUCACAAGAGAUAUAAUCCCUGUUGUAACAAUCAGAAUACGCCUCUGGGUCGGUGUUUCAACAGUAAUUAUAGUAAUCUAUUAUCUUGAUCGAAACCCGGUAGCAUCAAGUUAAUAAUAUACACCGGAGAUAUCAUUAAUUUUAAUAAACGUCUCACCAUUUGUAAGCAUCCUCUAAUUCUAAAAUUUUCUGCAUUUAAAUAAAGCCCCAAUCUCAUUCCUGGCAUUAGGGAAAUCUUAUUUCCUUGCUAUGUACGAAAAUGAUCCCACAUUGUAACUCGGCUAUAUUUAGAAACGCUUUUGUUUCAUUCUUGGUACGAGUAUAAUUGAAUAUUUUAUUUCACAUGGUUAGAAAGUAUGUUAAAUUCGCGGUUGAUUUGUGGUAUUAUUUACUUUGUCUGUACCUAUUCGUUUUAUGGCUCCUCUACACGUUGGCCCAACCUAUUGGUCCAAUGUGUUGGGACAACGUGUAGAGGGGGUAUUGGUGGUGCAAAAAUUGCUCAAAAAUACCCCAGCAAAUCCAUUACUUCUCACGUUCAAAUGGAUUUUAAAUUUCACAGAACCGUACAGUUAAUUGCUAUCCCGUCUAUAAUUCCCUUUUGUUUCAAUGUUGAAAGCUUGACAAAGACUUCAAUUAGGAUUGAUGAGUUUUCAUUCAGUUAGAUUAAUUAUAUUGCUUCUCUGAAGGGCUCACCCUUUAAGACAGAUGUUAAUGAGCACAGUUCCUUUUUUUGCUUUAUUAAUUCCUUGAUGAGUACUAUUGAUGAAAUAGAACUUGCCCUUUACAAAAGUUCUUUUACAAGUUUGUGACAGUCAGAGUUAAAGUGAGAGGAAAAGUAUGCAUAUUAUCAUAGAGAAAGAGAAAAAAGUUACUUAAGGGUACCCACUCCAUACAACUGAUUAUUAGACCGAAAGCUUGACACUUAAAGCAAAGUUAAGGCUAGCUUUUUUAUUUUUGCAAACAUUAAUUAGCAUCGUAAUAUGCGUACAAAAUAAUGAAAAAAUACCUGCUAAAAGCGAAUUAAAAAAAUAUAUUCAUAAACUAAAAGUAAAUUUAUUUUUACUAUAAUUUGUGUAUAAGUGUUUAUAUUGACUAAUUUGUGAUUUUGUUAAGUGUUUAUAUUGACUAAUUUGUGAUUUUGCUAAGUGUGGAUAUUAAUUAUCAUCGUGUUAUCAUCGUGAUAAUAUGCGUACCAAAUAAAUAAAAAAAUCUGCUAAAAGCGAAUUAAAAAAUAUAUCUAUUCGUAAACUAAAAGUAGUUAUAUUGACUAAUUUGUGAUUUUGUUAAGUGUAUGAAUAAUAAAACUAUAACGUUUCCUACCGGGUCGCCAUGUGAUGAACUAACAUUAAACAUUUGAUUUGAAAGUUAUGUAUUUGUUUUAUCAGACCUAAUUGUGACGUCCCCCCGGUAAAGGUACCUUAUCGCGGUUGGCGCUUACGCUGUUAUUAACGCCGCUCCAAUAUUAUUGCGGCGCUAUGCAACGUAAGUGCCAGCCGCCAUAAGGUACCUUAUGCCGUGGAACGUCACAAUUAAGCGUAUCAUAGGGCGGUUAUGUAAAGUAAAUGUGGCGUUUUAACUAAAAGUUAACACUUCGUCACUUUUCCUUGAGAAUAUCAUAAAAAUCCUCUGUAUUUUAGAGAUGUUAGUAAAUGUAAUUAAUUACGAUUCUAUUUUUUCAACUGUUACCUACCUAAUCUUUAUAGAUAAUUGUAAAUAAUGUAGUCUUAAGUUAGUAAAAGGGGAAAACAAAUACGUAAUUAUUAAGUGUUAUGUAAUUUAAGCUAAAAUGUAAAGUUAUAAUAUGUGUUGUAUCCAUUGUGACGAUUAAUUAAGAUAUGUGUACUUUAGUUAUGAUUCCAUUUCUUUUAAAAAGUUAAUAAUAAAAUCACUAUGUAACUCUUUUUGUUAUGUCAAUGUUUAUUGCAAUAAAAAUAAAAUUUUCGCAAGAUCUAAUAACGCAAGUAAUGGUAAAGUUUCUAACAUUUGCUUAUCUACAAUAUCAAAAUUGACGAAGUUCUUUAUAUUUACCUCUUUGUAAUGUUAUACUUAUAUCAGUAUUUUAUUUUCUUUAUUAGCAUGCCAGCUAAGUAUAUUGAGAGGGUCUUGACUUAACCUACUCGUUCACAAAAGGGCCCUCCUCUUAAUGGCCCAUCGAACAAUGAUACUCAUUUCCAUUCCUUUCCCUAUUCUCAGUCAAACAUUUGGUUUCUUCCCUGAUUUUCUAGGGCUUGAAAGAAAAUUAUGAGAUUAUUAUAUUAUACAAUAAGUUUUUUUUAGACAUUGAUAAACUGACAUAACCACAUAAGUUAAACGUUCUAGUGCUCGACAUGCUAAUGCCCAAUAGGUGACACCUUGCUAUCGUCUCUAUUGACAAUGACUUAAGUUUCAAGAUGACUUGUACUGGGACCGCGUCGAGCACCAGUACGUUUACCUUACUCGUAUCAAGAAAUUUUAUUUAAGUAUGUUCGUACUUAAAUUGACUUUCUAUGAGUUCAAGUGUGUUGGAGUACGAUCGAUAGUUUAUUCUUGAUAGAAUUAUUCAAAUUGUCUGGCGAUGUUAAAUAAAUAACCACCUUAUUACACAAGCGCUAAAAUUUUAAGAGAGGGUCUAGUUAAUAUGGUGAGUUUUAAUACAUACUUAAUAUAUAUUGAAACGCGUCAUUCACGUAUUUUGCAUGUAUAUUUUCGUACUUUCAAUUUUUUUUUAUCAAAAAACAUUAACAACCAAUGUACACUCCAUUCCUAUUUGAAAUAAAAUUAUCUAUAUCAAAAUAUGACAACGCACUAACAUAGCGUUUUUCUUAGUAGCCCGUCAUGGGCUGAGUUAACAGUAAAGCAGGUCGAAUAGAUGCCUCUUCUCCGCAAAAGCCUUAUUUGAUCGGCAGGGUCGAUUUGCAUCUGUUAUGUCACUUUCCAUGAGAUUGCUUAACAUACAUGCAUUACAUAUAUAACUGUUAAAUAAUUUGUGACGUUCCAUGGCAGAAGGUACCUUAUGGCGGCUGGCACUUACGUCGCAUAGCGCCGCAAUAAUAUUGGAGCGGCGUUAAUAAUAGCGUAAGCGCCAACCGCCAUAAGGUACCUUUACCUGUGGGACGUCACAUUUAUAAUGUUAGUUACAUUUAUUAAAAUACUGUAUUUAUUAGUACAGCUGUUGUUUAAAAAUAUCUGGUGUUUAAAGAUUUUUGAAUCUUGUCCUAAUAGUUGAACUAGUUGGGUUACAUUUCUGGUAUUUAUUUUUUUAUAAAAAAACCGUUUUUUUUUCAAAACCUGAAUAAGUUUAUAAAUAUAUUGCAAAGCAGUAAAAUAUUUUUGUGUAUUCUGUGAUAGCAUAAUUGUAAUUAAAUUGAUGUAUAAUUCGAAGCACAUUGCCAACAAGUUAUAUAAUUUAAUAGUUGUUUUAGAUGUAAAGUAAUCAUAAAUGUAAGUUAUAUACAAUUAAUUAUCUAUUUGUUAGAAUUUAAGAUAAAAUUACACGUAGUUGAAUAUGUAAAUAUUGUGAAAAUAUGUUAAGUAACAAACAGCAAUAAAUUAUAAAUGGCCAUAAGUGUAUUAGAGUUAGUAUUAUAAUAAUAGAAAAUAACCGAUAUCAUGUUGGAAUAAAGCUGGUUAAUUUAGAUUUGCGUUUAAAUUAAACUUUAAACAAAUUAAAAUAGAGCUCAUUUUAAAAGGGAAUUGAAUAAAGAAAUUAUUAUAUCUAGAGGCGUUUUCUGAUUGUAAUAUUAGGUCAUGAAUUUGAUCUUUUACUACGAGUUCCAGCUGAUAAUUAACUGAUAUAAGAGCCAAAAAUGUGUUAAGGAUAGGAAAAGUAGGUACGUACUCUAUAAUAAUAUAUUUUCAAAUCAUUUUUGGCUCUUGUUAUCAAUAGGGAAAUAAUCAGUUGAAACUCUAAUUUUUUCAUUCAGCCUGAAAAAAAGAUGACUAGGUAUUCAAAUUAUGCGUCUGGCCCAAACUAAAUCCACAAAAUUAAAAAAAAAUGCAAUUUUUGUGACACUCAUGGCUAGAAAGAUGAAUUAUUUUCCUAUAGUUUCUAAUAAAUGUAAGGAAUUUUGUGUCUAACACAUAUGCUGUUGCCGAUACGCAAAUUUUGAAAAUAAGUAAGUAAUCAGAUACAGUGAUUUGUUAUUGUCAUUUUUAAUAUUAUGAAAGGAGGUAAUAAAAUGUUUAAAUUGAAAUGUUAAAUUAAUAAACACAUUAAUACCACUUUUUGUAAUACCUAUCGUAAUUAAAACAUUGUACAAAAAAUAAUAAAUAAACGUUAAAAAGUAA